UCUGGGAAUGUUGAGUCUGGGGCUCUCCAUUUUGGGAGAGGGGAGCCAGACUGCUGUGGAAGAGCCUUCUAUCCAGCCCAGGAGCUGUUGUGUUGCGGCUACAGCCUGGGACUGAAAGUCUGUGGUGCUUGCAUCUAGCAGGCUGCUGAUUGCCCUAGAGGGGAGAGACUCUGGCUGCACCUGUGGCUGAGGAGAACUGCACAACAACCAGCACACAGGAGGAGGCUGUCCUGGCUCAAAAUGUUAAACAGCUGAGGGCCAAGAAUCAAUGUCUGUGGGACCCUACUGGAAACAUAUCGACUUGACAACUAUUCUCCAUUGACAGUUACUGCUUCCUUCUCUCAACCCUGGCUUUACAGCAAAGCAAGUACGCCCCCACCCGAAAACACUUCCAGAGGCCAUGGAGCAAUGUCCGCUGUCUGGGA